UUCACAUUGGUGUACUUUCGAUCCUUAAAAGGAACACACGUGACCAGGAAAGAUGCCCAAGGAUGGCAGCUGCCUUGCAGCCAAGCAUGGGUCAGACACACCAAUAUGGCAGCUUGACAUCCAGAGCCCAACCCAGUCCAAGGAGAAAAACAAGAAACACCUGCAAAGACUAAAUUCCCAGGUCCCAGAAGGAUGGACAAAUGUUUGGUGUUGACUUCAACAGCCCAGAUGAGAUUAAGUGACUUUCCCAAUCCUGCCAAGAAGCCUAGAAAAAGACCUUCCACAUUUGAGAACUCAGUACCUGAGAACAGUUAAUGAUUCUUUGCAAACAACCUGAAGAUUCACAACAUGCAUCCUCUGCAGAGCUCUCCUUCUCCUGCUUGCUGCCGCCCCGGCUCCUCUUGACACUCUUAUAGAACUGCCCCCAGCGGUGCCGCCCUGCGUCCUUCUUCAGGCGUUUCUCUUUGGCCCUUCUGUUCUGAAACCAAACCUGCCACACAAGCACAAGGGACACACUCAGGGGGCAUCCACCACAAACCCAAAGCCCCCAGGACCCCUAGGCGGGCGGCUGGAAGCCGACGGAAGCCUGAAUGGAGCACAGGUCUGGGAGUGCGAUGUGCCCCACCCCCUCUCCCCAGGUGGGCCUCAGAAUUCUGUCUUCAGUUCUGGCAAAAGCCCUGGGGUCAGGCCCUGAGCCCCACCACCCGUGAGCUGAUGUCACUCAGGACACCUUCCACCCCUGUCCCGGGCCUGGGAUCCCCGGAGGGCACAGGAGUGCUGGCAUCUCACCUGUACGACCCUCAUGUCCAGGCCUGUCUCUGAGGACAGCUGCUCCCUCACGUGCCGGGCAGGCUUGGGGGAGUUCUUGUAUGCAUUCUUUAAUGUCUCCAGCUGCUUGGCUGUGAUGGUGGUCCGGGGCCGCUUAGCUCCAGCCUCUGAGUCAUCUGCAAGGAAAAGCCACUGCUUACUGGCUUUGGCCUGUCUGCAGCAGCUGCACCUCCUCCCACACUUUCUCCACUCAGCUCCUUUCUCCUUUCUCCACUCAGCUCCCUGCCUUUCUCCACUCAGCUCCCUGCCUCUCCCCUCCACUGCCAGCCCAGCUGCACAGAAGUCUCAUCAAAUUGAAUGAAAUUUGAAGUCUCAUCAAAUGAAAUUUGAAGUCUCAUCAAAUUGAAUGAAUGUACCCAAUUCCACACAUGUCCCCGUCAUGACAAACACUCUGCUCACACAUCCUCAUGAGUUCUUGCCAGAGCUGUGAAGGUGAACAGCCAGGUUGAAGUCGUGUUCAAAGCCGCCCCAGAUGGCCUCCCCUCUGUCUCAUUGGGAGUCUCCCAUUUCCCCACAGCCAUGUCACCUUUGCCUUGGCGUUGCUGGGCUCACAGCCAGGGGUGAGCAUGCACACCCAACAGUGUCUAAACAGGUUUCUAAACUAUGGGUCAGAACCCACUCGUGGGCUGUAAAGUCACUUGGUGGAUCAAAACUAAAAGAGGAAAUCAGAUGAAGAGAAUGGAAUGGAAUGGCAAGAUCAUUUCAUUAAACCUUAGGUUUUAUUGUAUGAAUGUGUGUACUGAGAUGAAAUGUAAAAUGAGUUUUACUGUGGAUUGUAGUCAAAAUGUUUUGAGAAAACUAGUCUAAGGAAUGUUCUGGGCAACACACUGACUGAUCAACACAAAGUCCUCGACAGAUUUUGAGUGAACAAGCUCAAGUUCCUGUUAGUUAAAGUCUGGUCUGUUCCAUUCAAAGUCAGGUACAGAGAGAGGCGCGUGGGUGUGUUCGGAAGCACAGGUGAAUGUAAAGGUUUGUUUCCUCUCCCAGCACUUAGGCUUACUGCCCUUUUCUCCACAGUGCCCCUGGAGGACACAUAGAAUAAAGUCAGCAGCUGGCCUGGGCAGCUCUGCUCUCUGUGCUUGCUCACCUGUGUGCCCCAGAAAGUGUCUCUGUGACAUUCCUGACUUCCUCUCUGUCUUUUCUCCUUUCUUUCCAUUCAAGAAAACCCUCUCUUAGAAACAAUAAUAGCCAACAUGUGUUAGCACCUACCAUGUGCUGGUGUUGACUAAGGACUUUAUAUGCAUUCGGUCCUCACAAUCUACAAGGCUCUCCCUGGAGUCAGCAGACCUGGCUUCAAUGUUCUUGAUGAGUGAGUGACUUGGGCCAGUAACUCACUUCCCCCUUGGAAGUCCAGAGGGCAACACGGCCUUCCCUGGUCUUGGGAGGCACUAGAGGAAUGAAGCAGCUGUGCGGCCAGGACAUGCGUGCACACAGUGAGGGGGGACACACCCGUGCCUUCCCUUCUCCUCGGGCUGUUUUCUUCUCUCACGUGGCCACUGUCAUCCCAGAACUACUGUGGCCCAACUCCCUCCCUGAAGCCCUGAACCCGAAGGGUAGGGAUUCCGAAGCCCCUGCUGCAGAGACUACACUACUUAGAGAGUCAUUCCAAAAGACAAAGAGGAACCUCCAAAAUGCCUUCCUUUUCAUUCUGAGGAGUCUGACCCUUCUGUGCAUAUUUAUAGUCUACACGGGAGUGUCUGAUGCAACUUUGAAUUAUGCAGAUGGGAAAUAGUGCACUUGUAUACAAUCUUUAUAUUAAAAAAUGUGAAAUAAUGCAAUCACCAAAAA
rnacentral:sRNA from 1 species